GAUGAACGCUGGCGGCGUGCCUAACACAUGCAAGUCGAACGAAGCGCCUUUUGAGAUUCUUCGGAUGAUUGAUCGGUGACUGAGUGGCGGACGGGUGAGUAACGCGUGGGCAACCUGCCCUGUACAGGGGGAUAACAGUUGGAAACGGCUGCUAAUACCGCAUAAGCGCACGAGAGGACAUCCUCUUGUGUGAAAAACUCCGGUGGUACAGGAUGGGCCCGCGUCUGAUUAGCUGGUUGGCAGGGUAACGGCCUACCAAGGCGACGAUCAGUAGCCGGUCUGGGAGAAUGAACGGCAACAUUGGAACUGAGACACGGUCCAAACUCCUACGGGAGGCAGCAGUGGGGAAUAUUGCACAAUGGGGGAAACCCUGAUGCAGCAACGCCGCGUGAGUGAAGAAGUAUUUCGGUAUGUAAAGCUCUAUCAGCAGGGAAGAUAAUGACGGUACCUGACUAAGAAGCUCCGGCUAAAUACGUGCCAGCCGCCGCAGUAACAC
rnacentral:rRNA from 1 species